rnacentral:rRNA from 1 species
CCUACGGGGGGCAGCAGUAGGGAAUCUUCCGCAAUGGGCGAAAGCCUGACGGAGCAACGCCGCGUGAGUGAUGAAGGUCUUCGGAUUGUAAAACUCUGUUGUUAGGGAAGAACAAAUUUGUUAGUAACUGAACAAGUCUUGACGGUACCUAACCAGAAAGCCACGGCUAACUACGUGCCAGCAGCCGCGGUAAUACGUAGGUGGCAAGCGUUAUCCGGAAUUAUUGGGCGUAAAGCGCGCGUAGGCGGUUUCUUAAGUCUGAUGUGAAAGCCCACGGCUC